GUCGUUACGCCUCGGGGAAAAGGAAGCGGACGGGACCGUGAAUCGCCGGCUCUGGCUUUUUAUUUUUCUGCUGACAGGAUUGGGUCACUGGUUCUUCGUCUUUUGUCUGUUGCCCGCAUCCUGCCCUCCCCUUUUGCUGCCCCACUCCUCGGAUCCGUCCUCUGGGCGUUCACGCCAGUUCUCUCACCCCGCCGUGAGCCCCUCCUGGUCCCGGGGCGGGCCUGGCACGGAGGCGGUAACUACGGAGAAUAUGGCGGAGGAGGAGCUGCUGCCCCAGGAGAAGGAGGAGGUGGAGGGGGCCCAGGGCCAGGUCCCGACCCCGGCCCUGGAUUCGGCUCCGGCCUCGGCCCCGGCACCGGACUCGGCUCCAGCGCCGGCCUCGGCUCCCGUCCCAGCCCCUGCCCUGGCCCAGGCUCCGGCCCUGUCCCCGUCCCUAGCCUCUGCCCCUGACGAGGCUGAAAGCAAUGGUCUAGUUAGUCCUUUGAAGUCAGUCUUAACUAGGCAAGAUGAAGAUGGCAUAUCUGAAACAGAAUUGAAAAUUGAGGAAAAAGAAGUUUUAAAAGAACCUCCUAGCAUCUUGGACUCAUCUGAUUUAACAAAAGAGAGACACAUCUCAAUUCAAAGGCAGCUUGCUGAUCUAGAGAAGUUAGCUUUUGUAACUGAAGGAGAUUUUGAUUCUACCAGUUCAUUGAACUCCAAUAAUCUUGAUACAGGAAACAAGCAGAUCUGUCCAUUGUGCCCAAAGGAAAAAUUCAGAGCUUGUAAUAGCCAUAAGCUUCAUCGUCACCUUCAAAAUUUACACUGGAAAGUCUCAGUUGAAUUUGAAGGUUACAGAAUGUGCAUCUGUCACUUACCUUGUCGACCAGUGAAACCAAACAUUAUUGGAGAACAGUUAUCCAGUAAAAUGGGCGCCCAUUAUCAUUGUAUCAUUUGCUCGGCAACAAUCACCAGAAGGACCGAUAUGCUAGGACAUGUUAAGCGCCAUGUGAAUAAAGGAGAGACCAAAUCCAGGUAUAUUGCAGCUUCCGCUGCUAAACCACCAAAUGAAAUUUUGAAAGAGGCAGACACAGAUGUACAAGUGUGUCCUAACUAUUCUGUGCCACAGAAAACAGAUUCCUAUUUUAAUCCCAAAAUGAAACUAAAUCGGCAGCUAAUAUUCUGUACACUGGCUGCUUUGGCUGAGGAACGAAAACCUUUGGAAUGUCUAGAUGCCUUUGGAGCUACUGGGAUAAUGGGACUGCAGUGGGCAAAACAUCUCGGAAAUGCGGUCAAGGUCACAAUUAAUGAUUUGAAUGAAAACUCUGUGACGUUGAUUCAGGAGAACUGCCAUUUAAACAAAUUGAAAGUAGUGGUGGACAGUAAGGAAAAGGAAGAGAGUGAUGAUAUUCUUGAAGAAGGAGAGGAGAACCUUGGUAAUGUAAAAGUGACCAAAAUGGAUGCCAAUGUACUGAUGCAUUUGAGGUCUUUUGAUUUCAUACACCUAGACCCUUUUGGAACAUCAGUGAACUAUCUAGAUUCUGCGUUCAGAAAUAUAAGAAACCUUGGCAUAGUGUCAGUGACGUCUACAGAUAUCAGUUCCUUAUAUGCCAAGGCACAACAUGUUGCCCGGCGUCACUACGGCUGUAACAUCGUCCGAACUGAAUAUUACAAGGAGCUGGCAGCCAGAAUUGUUGUAGCUGCAGUGGCAAGAGCUGCAGCUCGAUGUAACAAAGGCAUAGAGGUGCUAUUUGCAGUGGCUCUGGAACAUUUUGUGUUGGUUGUUGUGAGAGUUUUGAGGGGACCUACUUCUGCAGAUGAAACAGCCAAGAAGAUUCAGUACCUAAUCCAUUGUCAGUGGUGUGAAGAGAGAAUUUUUCAGAAGGAUGGUAAUAUGGUAGAAGAAAACCCAUAUAAACAGCUACCGUGUAACUGUUAUGGCAGCAUGCCUGGAAAGACAGCAAUAGAACUUGGACCUCUAUGGUCGAGUUCCCUUUUCAAUACUGGAUUCCUCAAAAGAAUGCUGUUUGAAUCUCUUCACCAUGGUUUAGAUGACAUUCAGACCCUAAUAAAGACAUUAAUCUUUGAGUCAGAGUGCACUCCUCAAAGUCAGUUUUCAGUUCGCGCACCUUGAAAUCUCAACAAGCAAGAUAACUAAUUGAAUACUCAUUUACUAGCUUACAAAUUAGUUAUGAAAAAUACUCCAUGUUCUUAUCUUUAUUUGAUGUUAUGAUCAAAAGCAGUAUAAGUAGUGUGCUUUAACUAAAUCCUCUUUAAUGUCUGAUCAUAAUCUGGUUAACUUUUAUUGAAUCAUAGUUUUCUUCCGGUUUAUAUUUGGGACAAGAAGUGAAUAAUGCUUUUAUUAAAAUAGAUGUAUUUUUAAAUUUUAGCAGAUGAAAAGAAGGCUGUUGCGAUUUUAUUAACCUAUAUCUGCUUUCUAGAAAGAGAAACCAUAGGUAUUUCUGAGGAUAGUGUGGCCAAAAAUUUUGUAAUAUCUGUUGAGACAUAGAAGGUAGAUGUACACUUAUAACUUAGUAAAGCUAACUUUUUUCUUUUUUUUUUUAAGUAUAAAUAGGCUUUUAUAUUAUAGUUUUAUCUGGCUAUUGAUGUACGGGUGGGCCUAUUAAUCAUCCUAGCAUUCUCAUGUCAUCAGAAGGAGCAGUUCUUAUUGGAGGAAGAAUGUGGAGUACUUAAAACUACAGAUGAUACCACAACAGAAAACCAUGUUGCACAAGGAAAGAGAAAAAGUAAUGAAGCAAUCACAAAUUUAGCCAAGAAGCAAAAGACCGAUGUCAGUACUGAACAUCCUCCCUUCUAUUAUAACAUCCACAGACACAGCAUUAAAGGAAUGAAUAUGCCAAAGUUAAAAAAGUUUUUGUGCUAUCUUUCUCAAGCAGGCUUUCGAGUAAGCCGAACUCAUUUUGACCCAAUGGGUGUUCGUACAGAUGCACCUCUAAUGCAGUUUAAAUCUAUCCUUUUAAAGUACAGCACUCCCACUUACACCGGAGGACAGUCGGAGGGCCAUGUUCAAUCAGCAGCUGAAGAUACAGUAGCUAACAGGGUUGAAAUGUCAGUGAAUGACAAAGCAGAAGCAAGUGGUUGCAGAAGAUGGUAAAUGUAAAGAAAAAUUUAUUCCCAGAUGUCUGAAUUAAUGGCCUAAUAGUUCUCUAUACCAGCUGUAGUGCUUUUUCUAUUCUUUCAAUUCAGUGGUGUAAAAAUAAAAAAACAGUGCUGUUUUCAUUCAGAAAAUUAGCAGUUUCUAACUUAGCUGGCUUGGGAACUAUGCUUUCCAAGUUUUUAUUUUAAAGAAAACUUCAAAUUUUAGUAAAACAUUACAUAUGAAGCCAAGUUUAUGACUGAGAUCACCCUACUGUUUAAAAUAACUCAAAAAAUUUUCAAAUGCAAAGUGUUUGGAAUUUUAUGUACGUUAAUGUGUUAGGACAUCCUUUAUUUAAUCUCAUCUCAAACUGAUUUGUGCUGUUUAUAUUUUUUUGUUUGUAGUGUGUAAGAUUAAGCCAGAGCCUUUUAUUAAAAUGACCCUAAAUUGAAUAUUGGAGGAACAAAGUCCUUUUAAGUCACUAAUGGACUAUUUCACAAUUACAAGCUAAAAUAUGUUCCUGAUUUUAAGAAAUCAUACCUCAUACAUUGAUCUUUUAAUUUAUUACUAGUUUUUGAGAAAUUAAAUACUUGCCUAAGAUAGAAAUACAUUUUUCUUUUAAGUUUAACAUCUAGUUAACCGAACUUCAGAGUAAGAUUUUGUUAAAUUGAGACCAUUGUUCUAAUAUAAUAAUGGUUCACAAGCACUAAAUUCUGAAGAGGAGAAAUUUUGUUAUGAAUUAAACAGGUUGGGUGAUCUCAAAUGUUUUCAGUUAAUGCACGUACAAUAUUCAUUUGCUUGGUUGUGCUACCUCUCAGGAGUAAAAUUUAAGAAAUUUAUGAAGUGAGAAUUUUUUUGGUUUUAGAGUGGUUUGUUUUGUGUUUGAUUUUUGGUGUGUGUAUGUGCUAGGUUUUGUAUAAGUAGCCCAGGCUAAUAUGACUAUGAAAAUUAGUUGCAAAAAAUCUUGUUUCCAUUAAUAAAUAUUGUUCUUGCUUUAUCUGAAUAUAAAAAUUUGGAUGAAAAUA